UAAAAUGUUGUUGACAUUUUCAUAUUUAUGGAGAGAUCUGCUCUAAAUUGUCUAAAUCUUGUUUUUGCGCAGUAUUAUUUAUGCAGCAAAAAAUGGUCAUGACAGGACGCCAUUGUUCGUUGUUGGAAGUUCUUUUACAAUUUUUCUGAUUUUUUGGUAGAAAAAGUGGUUCUUCAGUGCACUAUUUGAGCUUAUUCGGUUCCUUAAGGCCUGUUUAAUCUCCUGUAAAUGAGUUUUAUUUCUUUACACAUCCAACAUGUAAAGACCAGCUACGAGAAGAGACCUUGGUCACCCCUCAUAUAAUCCUGACGUUUGUCCAUCAUUCUGUUUUACGAGAUUGGUUUUACAUUAUCCAGUUAAAAAAUUUUGCACAACAAAUCGAUGGAUGUAUACAGUUCCAGGGCAGUAAUUUCUAAUUUCUAGUUUUAUACAAGAUAUUUAAACGUUCUUUGAAAACGCUGUAUGUGUAUAAAAUAUACCGCAAGAUCGAAAAAAACGGCGUCAGAGAUAGCUUGGGAACUAAGAUCACCGUCAUUUUGUAUGUCAAUUUAUAUUGGGAAUUUCAGCAAUUGGUAUUUCAGAGCUAACUGGACGCCGUUUUUUUUUUUUUGAUCAUACCAUAUUUAUUUAAACGUUCUUUGUAAACGCUGUUUGUGUAUAAAAUAUACCGUAAGAUCGAAAAAAACGGUGUCAGAGAUAGCUUGGGAAUUAAGAUCACCGUUAUUUUAUAUGUAAAUUUAUAUCGGGAAUUUCAACAAUUGUUAUUUCAAAGCCAACGCGACGCCGUUUUUUUUUCGAUCAUACCAUAUAUUUAAACGUUCUUUGAAAACGCUGUUUGUGUAUAAAAUAUACCGUAAGAUCGAAAAAAAACGGCGUAAGAGAUAGCUUGGAAAUUAAGAUCACCGUCAUUUUGUAUGUAAAUUUAUAUUGGAAAUUUCAACAAUAAUUGGUAUUUCAGAGCCAACUCGACGCCGUUUUUUUUUCAGUCAUACCGUAAUAUUUUAAGUAUAUUUAGUCAUUUUAUUGUUAAUAUAUCUUCUGUUUUGUAUAAGCAAAAAUAAUAUAAAAUGUAUUUUUAGGAGGAAGAUAAAUGUAAUUUUUCCUCUUUUGAACUAAGUAUUUUGCGUUUUUACAUUUGUUUUAUAAUUUACAUGUAAAAAAAUACUCAUAUAGGAUUUUUUGGAUAAAUUUACGUGUAUUUUCCACCAUAACGUAAAAUCAUGUAGAGAAAGCCCAUCCCUGAUCAAAACAUUAUAUGAUCAGGCAUACUUUGUACCGUAUGAUCGAAUAAAAACGGCGUCCAGUUUGCUUGGAAAUGACGAUCGUUGACAUUCUUCAUAUAAUUUUACCUAUAAAAUAAUGACAGCCAUCUUCAUUUCAUAGCCAUCGCUGACGCCGUUUUUUUUUUCGAUUAUAUUGUAUAAUGACACGACCUACUUAUGAUUUAUACAAUAUGAUUGAA